UACGUAGGGUGCGAGCGUUGUCCGGAAUUAUUGGGCGUAAAGAGCUUGUAGGCGGUCUGUCGCGUCUGCUGUGAAAAUCCGGGGCUCAACCCCGGACUUGCAGUGGGUACGGGCAGACUGGAGUGCGGUAGGGGAGAAUGGAAUUCCUGGUGUAGCGGUGGAAUGCGCAGAUAUCAGGAGGAACACCGAUGGCGAAGGCGGUUCUCUGGGCCGUAACUGACGCUGAGGAGCGAAAGCGUGGGGAGCGAACAGG
rnacentral:rRNA from 1 species